GAUAAUUUGAUUGGUUGCAAUUCAAAAUUAAAAUGCUGUCACAUCAUUGGUUGGAUUUCAAUUGUUAUGGAUAUUAUUAGCCAAUGAUAAUACUUUUUACAAUAUUACCCAGAAUUCUUAAGAUACAGAAAUUGGGAAUUUGCCAGUUUCUUAAUCAGACUUUUGCAAUCACUUUUGAUUCAAAAUUGCCACUUCAGUCCUAUCACAUGGAAGUCUUCGAAAGCAUGUACAUUUGUUAGGAAAAUGAGAAUAUAUUUGAUUUGUUACAGAAUGAGAUAUUCAAUUGUAAAAAGUUAUCAAAUUUACAUAGUACUAUUAAGUUCUUUCAAAUUGUUUGUUUCCUUGUACUCUUUGUUUGAUGCAAAUUGUUAUUUUUAUUUUUUGUUAAGGUGGUACCUAACACUACAGGGAGAUAACUCUGUAAAAUCAGCUAAACGUUUUAAUUACACUGUGUUGUUAAGGGGAUAUAAAGCUCCUCAAUGAUCAAAAUUAGUGUUUGUUAAACUGCUAUAUAACCAGUGUAAUUUUUCUGAUGAAAUGGUUGGUUCAAUUUUUUUUUAAUUUUAUAUUUUUGUCAAAGGGUCAAAGUUAAUACUUUGUCAAAAUUUUAUGAAACUGAAACAAGCCAAAUUAAUUGUAAGGAAGUUGUUGGGUACUGAUAAUUUAACCUGUUUAAGUAAAAGAAAAUGCAUAUUUUUCAAAGUUUUUAAAAAAGUGAUUCUUAUGAUACUGAAAAUGAGUUAAAUAAUCUGUUCAGUUAUUAAUGCAAAUCAUUGUUAAUUAAAUAAAGCAUAACACUGAUUUAAUUUCUAUGCUCAGACAACAUUAAUUCCACGAACAUAAAAUACUAGGAUCAAAAUGCUAAUUUUAGAUUGUGUGAUCUGAACCCUUUUUGCACUGUUAAAACAACAUAUUAAUUUCUGAAUAUUCAGUAUGUAUUUAACCACAGC
rnacentral:lncRNA from 1 species